AUUUACCUAUUGAUUUUAUUCAUAUAUCACUUUGUUGAAGAAAGGUGUGUUUUUUUUUAAUUUUAAAGAAAGUGUAGAAGAUGCAAUGGCUGUAUCAGUGCAAGAAUUAGUACCAAGUACAGAAAAGCCAUACAACACUCAACCUGUCGAUGAAUCAUCUAAUGACAGUUGUCUAAAUGACCCUGCACCAUCUGCUCUUAAAGAAACUGAUGAGCUGGACUCGGAACUCCCUGAUCAAAUAGGUGAACAUGAUGGUAUGUGAUUUAUGUAUGGUGAAUAAAUGGAUAAAACCCGCUGCUGUUGUCAUUAGUCAAUAUCUCCAAAAUUAAGCUUUUUAUAUCAGUAUUAAAGGUUUGUAACAGAUCUGUACUCUGCAAGUACUAUAGAUUCCUUUAUAUUUGUGGAUUGAGGAAAACUUGAAUUUUCAAUGAUAUUUAAUUUCGUUGUUUUGGCAAUCUGCAUGCAUUCCCCUAGAAAAUCUGUGAUUUGUUGACUAAUUAAUUCCUUUUCCCCUGUACCCAAAAAUCCAUGAAAAAUUGAAAAAUAUGAAAAGAUGAAAAGAUGAAAAGUAAUGAAUCACACAAUGAAUUUAAAUGACUGAUACAGAUAGAGCAUUAGACAUGAAUAGAUGUCAUAGUUACAAACACUAUAAAAUGAUUUACAAUUAUGAUUAUUAAAAAUUAUAAUUUAAAAAAUGAUAAUUAUGGAAAUUGUCAUGAUAUUUUGAUAUUUUAUAGCUAGAUAGUAAAGAUUGAAUUAAAUAGACCAGAUAUUGUUGUUUUAACAAGUUAUUUUUAUUUAAAGAUGAAAUGGAGACAAAAGUUCUUUUUGCAUCAAGGCCUCCUCAACAUUCAGAAUUAGUUACUAGUGUAACAGGAAGUGAAGCAUUAGAGCCAUACAAAACUGAAUCUGAUGGGGAAUCAGUUGACGAAACUUCACUUAAGGAUGUUGCUAAAGACCGUGCUUCAUCUGAACCUGUCAAAAUUGCUCCUCAAAGAGAUUUCCAGUAUAGUACAUCAGAUGAACAAAAGACGGGAGUGCAUUCCACUGUGCCUUUUAAAUUUAAAAGGGAAUAUAAAACAUUUAAUUUAAGAAAGAAAAGCUUUAAUUCCUCUUGCAAGUGGCCACUCUCUAAACCUUCUAUACCAGAAAUGGCCAACGCUGGAUUCUUCUGCAGUGGUAUGCUUAUUAUCCACAUCAUUUAAAUUUGAUUGCAUAUUUGAAAAAUAAUUUACAACUUUCACUCAUAUUUUGACACUCACAAUUUAGACCAAGGUUAAAUUUAGGUUACUAUGUACUUAACAUUUUAUAGAAUAAGGAAAACUGUGGAUUAAUUGAUUAUUGUGGAUACCAAUUUCAGGACAUUAGAAUUUGUGGUUUAUCUUUACCAACAAAAUCCUUAAAUUAAAGAAACUGGUAUUCCAUGAACAAUGAUUAAUCCACAGUUCAUACUUGUAAUGAAAAAAUUGAUGAACAUUAGGGCCAACAUUCGUAAAUAGGUAUAGGAAGAUGUGGUAUGAGUUCCAAUGAGACAACUCUCAAUAACCUAUUUAAUCGCUAUUUUACAGAAAUUUUCAUUUGAUCUUACUGAAUAAUUUCCUUUCUCUGCACAGUAGAGUGAUUUGAAAAUUUAUUCCUAGAAACAAAGGGCCCACAUGCCCAAUGUCAAUGAAGUUUAGAACGUAAAAAAGUGAUGAACAGAUUAUCAUUGGCCAUCUCAACUUGAUUGCUUUUAUCCAUACUGGCUCAAGAGAGAAAAUCAAUCUUGUUGAGAUGAUCAGAUAAUCUAUAAAUACAAACCAGUUAUGAAAUGAACAAAAUAAGUGAAUUAAAUUUUUAGCUCACCUGGCCCAAAGGGCCAAGUGAGCUUUUCUCAUCACUUGGCGUCCGGCGUCCAUAAACUUUUACAAAAAUCUUCUCCCGUGAAACUACUGGGCCAAAUUUAAACAAACUUGGCCACAAUCGUCAUUGGGGUAUCUACUUUAAAGAAUGUGUCCAGUCCCGGCCAACCAACCAAUAUGGCCACCAUGGCUAAAAAUAGAACAUAGGUGUAAAAUGUAGAUUUGGCUUAUAUCUCUGAAACCAAAGCAUUUAGAGCAAAUCUGACAUUGGAUAAAAUUGUUCAUCAGGUCAGAUCUAUCUGCCCUGAAAUUUUCAGACAAAUCGAACAUUCUGUUGUUGGGUUGCUGCUCCUGAAUUAGUAAUUUUAAGGAAAUUUUGCAGUUUUUGGUUAUUAUCUUCAAUAUUAUCUUAGAUAAAGAUAAACUGUAAACAGCAAUUAUGUAUAGCAAAGUACGAUCUACAAAUAAGUCAACUUGACCAAGUUCAUAAUAGAUUUAAGGUAGAUACAUGGUAUACCGCCAUCUUGGAUUGUACAAUCACAGUUCAAAAUCAGUAUAGUUAUUUGCCCAAAUCUGCAAAUUUUGAGACAGAUUUGUAGUUUAAUGAUUAAACUGAUUAUUUAUAUAAGGAAAACUUGAUGAUUUAUUGUAUAAUCGAAAAUAUUUACACAAAUACCAUUUUGUUUUGUUUUAAAAAUAUUUUUUUCAAAUGAGCCAUUUAAGGGGAGAUUACUUUUUUAGUAAAAAAUUUAUACUGGACUAAUAAGGAAAAAAUUUAUUUUUACUUGCAGCAAGAAAACAAGUUUGGUGUCCCCCGUUUUUAUUUUUAUUUUCUUAAAACAUGUAAUAAACAUUCUUCUCACAAUUUAUUUCAAAAUUCUGUCUCAUAGAAUUUUUUUUAUGCACACAAAUGUGUUUUUUCAUGAACAAUCUAACCAAAUUUAGGCAAUUUUCAACAACUCAUAGCUUGAUAAAUAGCACGGUGACCCAUAUUUUUUUUUAACAUAUUUGAAAAAAGCCUAGUAAAAUCUUCAUUUUGGCAAAUUAUAAGAAAAUUCUGUAUCAAAAAGUAUUUACUUAUGAUCUACCUUAAGAUAAUUGUAAGCAGCAAGAUAGUUCAGUAAAGUAAGAUCUACAAACACAUCACCAACACCAAAACACAAUUUUGUGAUGAAUCCAUAUGUGUCCUUUGGUUAAUAUGCAGAUAGACCAACGUCACAAAGGUGAGCAACACAGGCUCUUUAGAGCCUCUAGUUUUGUUUCUACAGAACAUUAUGGCUUUUUUUUUAUUUCUUAAAACAAUGUGGAUGAAAUGGUGGAAGUGCUUCUUAUUUCAAAUGUGAUUCACAAAUAAAAAAAGUAACAUUUUAAAUUUUGAUAGAAUUAUAUGUAUGCAGGCCAUUUCCUGAAAUUGUAAUAAUUAAUCUCACAGAUUGGUCUUUUUUUUUAAAUCACAAUUACAAAUGCAUGGAUACAUUUCUGAAUUCACAGUAUCUAAGUCUGGCAAUAUGCUCUACAAAGAGUUGUUAUAGAAAGCAGAACAUUUUGUCAAUAAGCUGUCAUACUCAGUCUGUAUAAAAGUUAAGCUACUUGUUGUUUCUUAUAGUUAAUCUAUUUUGUGUGUUUUAGGGUGUCUUACAUGGGCUCAGUGCUAUUCCUGUGGAUUAAAGAGGCUUUGGCAAGAAGGAGAUGAUCCAUUUGAUAAACUGUUGCAUGAUAAUUGUUCUCAUCUUAAACACAUAAAGGAAAAAAAGGUCAGCAUGAAAUAACCAAAGAAUUAAAACCUAUAUGGAGUCCUUUAUAUCCAAUGUUGCCAUGGCUAGUUGCAACAUAGGAUGACCUCAAUUGUAUUACAUUGUGUACAAUGUUUUAGUUUCAAAAUGAUUUCUAAUAUGUCUAUCUGACCAACCUGAAUAACAGGAGUCACCAAAAAUACAGAACUGCACAACAGACAUCAAAAACCACUGACACAAGACUCCAAAAACAAAUAAACACACAAAACAAUAGCAAGAAAGACAAACAAAAAGUAAAAUCACAAAAGUACUGAACUCCGAGGAAAAUUAAAAAUGGAAAGUCCCUAAUCAAAUGGCAAAAUAAAAAGGAAUGGAUAACAACUGUAACAUUCCUGACUUGGAACAGGUAUUUUCUUAUGUAGAAAAUUGUGGAUUAAACCUGGUUGUAAAGCUAGCUAAACCUCUCACUUAACAACACAUGGUUCACAUAGUUCAGAUAGACUGACCAGGUAUAGGUCUAAAACUUAACUGAUGAUAUGACCAAAUUGCAAAGUUUCACAUCUUUCUAUAAUAAUUGUUAAAGAUUUAUUUUGGUUAUUUCUGUUGUUGGUUUGAUUUCUCAUUGAUGUGUAUGUUUUAGUUCCUUUUAUUCAUGCUUUGCCUGUCUAACCUCUACAAAGUUGCUGAAGCAAGACUAAGGCAAAAUUUGUAAAUAGAUCAGUUUAUGGUAAACCACUAAGGUUAGUCAGUGGUUUUUUUUUUGUAUUGGCACAUCUCAUUUUUAAGGACAUUUCUUGGUCCUGCUCUAUUGAUUAGAUUAAAUUUAAUUAGACUAUCAUAAUGUAUGGAGGUGUAAUACAACCAAAUCAUGGUACGUCACAUCCAAUGUAUACAAAAAUAGGUUGAAAAAAAAAUUUCCCUUGAAUAUGACAGUUGUAGGUAAUUAAUCCUACAUUUUAUUGUAGUAAAAGAUUUCUGUGUCAUAAACAUAUGUCUUGGGUAUUUCUAAGCACCAUUAUUUUUUUAUUUGGGAUUUCUAUAGAACAUUUUGUAAUCUUUAGGUUACAUGGUGACUAAACCUUGUACACAAUAAAAAUAAGGGGAGAUAUUUGAUUGGUUAAUUUCCAGUGAUGGUCAUUUUCUUAUAUGCAAUGAAAUGUUAUAUGAAUUUUUUUCUAUAGUGUUGGACAGGAUAAAACUUGACUCAUGCCAAGUUUUUCUUUAUUUGAAACAAAGAUAAAUUCUACACUUUUUUUUGAAAAGUGCAAAUUUAACAAAGACUAUAAAUAGGGGAAAAUCAAUGGUGGUAUUACACCUAAUAUGGGAAGCUGUACAUUCACCUUUUCUCUUCUCCUUCUCGCUGUGGUGUCCAAAUCAGUGUUCAACUCUUUAACUUAAAAAGUAACUUUAUUUAAAAGGUGUUUUGUACCAUAACUAAAAAUCGAUUUAUGAUAUUGCUUAAAUUUUUACAUACUUUUUAGUUAUAUUCAUCUCAAGAUCUGUAUACUUUUGGGGAUGAUUCAAAAUUUUAUUUUAGAGUUCUUCAGAUUUUUGUAAAACAAAUUGUCACAUGUCAGGCCGUAUUUCAAAAACCAUUUAUGAUUGUUACUUCAAAAUGUACAGACUUCUCAAUUGUAUUAAUCUUAAGAUCUGUAUACUUUUUGGUGAUGAUUCAAAAUUUUAUUUUAGAGUUAUUGAGGUUUUUGUAAAAAACAUGUCAGGCCAUAUUACAAACACAAUUUAUGAUAAUUACUUUAAACUUUACACACUUCUUAAUUGUAUUAAUCUUAAAACGAUUUAUUUUUUUUUGCUUAAACUUCAAACAAGACGACGAGCGAAUCAUGAGCUCAUGGUGCAGCUGUUUAUUCAGCCAAUAUUUUUAUUGCAUUAAUAAAUAUUUUAUAACAUUUUAUUUAUAUAUGUAUUGUAUCAAUCAUACACACUGAACUUACAUGCUCUGCCAAUUUUAUAGAUCCAAACUUAUAUUUAUGCUAAUUUAAUAUAUUUUUAGGCAUCUGGUGAAGUUUAUGAUAGUACCAACCCUUAGCUAACAGAAUUGGUGGCAAAAUCAAUGUUGAAAUGGAGUAAAAACAAUGAAACAUGCUUUUGUUAGACUACCUGCAUGAUUUCAAAUUAUUCCAUAUGACAAUGAAACGACUUCUUUGUACAGCUAACGAUAGUUCCAUGAGCAGAUAGUUGUUGAUCUGAUGAUAACAUUUUAUGUGAUUCUUUUAAAACAAGAAUUGGGCCAAAGGGUAGUGUUCAGUUUUAUAGAAAGAUGUUGAACUAAGCGUUGAUUUCAAAUACUGCUAUUUUAAGGAAGGAAGUCAUUUUGAAAUGCAUCAAAUGCAUUUUCACUCAUUAAUCAUAUAUCUUGGUAGCUGCGGAACCGUAUCCCUUAUGUCCUUAUGUGGUUUUUUUUACUAUUUCUGAGGACCAUAGAGCUACGGAUUUUUCCUAUUUCAAAACAUUCUGAAUUGCGACUCAGGUUCAGGUCGCACUUUACACUAUUAUCUGAUUAUUCACAUUUGGAUACAUUUUCCGCCUAUUUUGUUCAGCCAUAUUGAAUCUUGUUGUGACGUCACGAUAAAGAAGAAAAGAUAACUCUUAUUGGAAAACACAUGUUGGUUUGUUUACGUUGUCUUUUAUUGUAAUUUGAAUACUUUUUUUUUUUAAUGAAAUAACUUUUAAUUAAAUUUAAAUACUAAUGGAAAUAAUAAUCCUUCAAAGUUAUUAAAAUAUUUCGUGUGAAAUAAUGUUGUAAAGCAUAAAAAUCACUUGAUUAUUGCUUAGAAAUAAGUAAACAAACUAACGCUUGUCUUCCUAUAAGAGUUAUCUGUUCUUGUUUUUCAUAGGCGUACCUUGGUACAUGUUGUAGUAGUACUGGUUAUGAAAAAAAAAUACAUUGGAAGGUAUGACCAGUAUAUUGUGUUGUGGAGUUAUUAAUGGUUAUGCUGCUGUUAUUUUGCUGUUAUUUUGUUUGACACAUUUGUAUGUAAUAUUUUCUAAACUGUAAAUAUGGUGAAUCACUCGAUAAUGAGUCUAAAUAUAUAAUAUAAAGAUGUUAUACUCUUUGAAACAGUUAGAGAUAUUGUAUAUAAGUUAUUAAAGUCUUUCAGAUAUGUUUGCUGUCUUUCAUAUUAAUUUAAAAUUAAGUGAUACAUUAUUUUUUUAAGUUAAUUUUGUGAUAUCUUUGUCUUUCAUGCAAUGCAAUCUUGGAGAAUAGCUAGAUUAGUUUGUUUAUUGAAUAUUGUUAUAUUGCUUAUAUUUGUAAUUUUUUCAUGCAUAUGUCAAUUUUAUAUAUCAGUAAAAUCUAUCCAGUAGUAUACAAUUUGUCCCCCAGACUUUGUUAUGAAUUUUAAAGUCUUUUUAAUAUGGUAGUUCUCCUAAUGUUGAAAUAUCAUUAUUGAAAUAAUUUCAAAAAUAGGAAAAUCUCAGCCUUAUGUUUGCCUAAAGCAAAUUUUUAGCUCACCUGGCCCGAAGGGCCAAGUGAGCUUUUCUCAUCACUUGGCGUCCGGCGUCCGUCGUCGUCCGUCGUCGUCGUCUGUCGUCGUCCUGCGUCCGGCGUUAACUUUUACAAAAAUCUUCUCCUCUGAAACUACUAGGCCAAAUUUAACCAAACUUGGCCACAAUCAUCAUUGGGGUAUCUAGUUUAAAAAUUGUGUCCGGUGACCCCGCCAACUAACCAAGAUGGCCGCCAUGGCUAUAAAUAGAACAUAGGGGUAAAAUGCAGUUUUUGGCUUAUAACUCAAAAACCAAAGCAUUUAGGGCAAAUCUGACAGGGGGUAAUAUUGUUAAUCAGGUUAAGAUCUAUCUGCUCUGAAAUUUUCAGAUGAAUCUGACAUUCCGUUGUUAGGUUGCUGCCCCUGAAUUGGUAAUUUUAAGGAAAUUUUGAUGUUUUUGGUUAUUAUCUUGAAUAUUAUUUUAGAUAGAGAUAAACUGUAAAAAGCAAUAAUGUUCAGCAAAGUAAGAUCUACAAAUAAGUCAACAUGACCAAAAUGAUCAGUUGACCACUUUAGGAGUUAUUGCCCUUUAUAGUCAAUUUUUAACCAUUUUUCGUAAAUCUUAGUAAUCUUUUAGAAAAAUCUUCUCCUCUGAAACUGCUGGACCAAAUUAUUUGAAACUUGGCCACAAUCAUCUAACCAACUAACCAAGAUGACCGCCAUGGCUAUAAAUAGAACAUAGGGGUAAAAUGCAGUUUUUGGCUUAUAACUCAAAAACCAAAGCAUUUAGAGCAAAUCUGACAUGGAUAAAAUUGUUAAUCAGGUGAAGAUCUAUCUGCCCUGAAAUUUUCAGAUGAAUUGGACAACCUGUUUUUGGGUUGCGGCCCCUGAAUUGUUAAUUUUAAGGAAAUUUUGCUGUUUUUGGUUAUUAUAUUGAAUAUUAUUAUAGAUAUAGGUAAACUGUAAACAGCAAUAAUGUUCAGCAAGGUCAGAGUUACAAAUAAGUCAACAUGACCAAAAUGGUCAGUGACCUCUUUAGGAGUUAUUGCCCUUUAAAGUCAAUUUUUAACCAUUUUUCGUAAAUUUUAUAUAUCUUUUACUAAAAUCUUCUUCUCUGAAACUGCUGUGCCAAAUUGAUCCAAACUUGGCCACAAUCAUCUUUGGGGUUUCUUGUUUAAAAAUGUGUCCGGUGACCUGGCCAUCAAACCAAGAUGGCCGCCACGGCUAAAAAUAGAACAUAGGGGUAAAAUGCAGUUUUUGGCUUAUAACUCAAAAACCAAAUAAUUUAGAGAAAAUCUGACAUGAAGUAAAAUUGUUAAUCAGGUCAAGAUCUAUCUGCCCUGAAAUUUUCAGAUGAAUUGGACAACCUGUUUUUGGGUUGCGGCCCCUGAAUUGGUAAUUUUAAGGACAUUUUGCUGUUUUUGGUUAUUAUAUUGAAUAUUAUUAUAGAUAUAGGUAAACUAUAAACAGCAAUAAUUUUCAGCAAAGUAAGAUCUACAAAUAAGUAAACAUGAACGAAAUGGUCAAUUGACCCCUGUAGGAGUUAUUGACCUUUGUAGUCAAUUUUCAAUCUGCUUCCUUUAUUUAAUAUUCACAUAGACCAAGGUGAGCGACACAGGCUCUUUAGAGCCUCUAGUUUAAUAAAAUUACCAAUAAGUGUCCGAAGAGGUUUUAAAGGUUCUGUGAUUCCAUACUCUCUUUUUUUUUAUGAAUUUCAAUAAGGGCUUAAUUUGGCCCAAUUCGUUUUCAUUGCUAAAUUUGAACUUUGUUUUAGAUUUCUAUUUUGAGAUUGCUUAUAAGUUCGAACUCUUGUGUGUAAAAUUAAAAGCCAAUACAAUUUGAUCCAAGAAGUUAUGAUAAAUGCAGUUGUGUCAUCAAAACAGGGCUCUCACUGGUUCAUAUGAAAAAUAUGUGCUGUCAUUUCAUGCUUAUGUUUUUGAACUGACAAAAUUAAUAGUGUUUAAACAUUGUAAUCCAACCUUUAUGUUUAAAUAAAACAAAUAAUUUAUAAAGUUUAACUUUGCUGCACUUUCAUAGAAACUUUGAAAAAAUGCAUUUAAGGUAUAAUUUGAUUUGCAUUUUUUAUGCCCCACCUACGAUAGUAGAGGGGCAUUAUGUUUUCUGGUCUGUGCGUCCGUCCGUCCAUCUGUCCAUUCGUUCGUCCGUCCGUCUGUCCGUUCGUCCGUCCGUCUGUCCCGCUUCAGGUUAAAGUUUUUGGUCAAGGUAGUUUUUGAUGAAGUUUAAGUCCAAUCGACUUCAAACUUAGUACAAGUGUCCCCUAUGAUAUGAUCUUUCUAAUUUUAAUGCCAAAUUAGAGUUUUUACCCCAAUUUCACGGUCCACUGAACAUGGAAAAUGAUAGUGCGAGUGGGGCAUUCGUGUACUGAGGACACAUUCUUGUUUACAAGAUAUUUUACAGAUCCCUAAUACUCAUUGUACAUCCUUCUUUGUUAUUGUUUUCAUUUGAAAUGAACUAUUGAGGUAUAUUUCACAGAAUUUGUCAUGGGAUGAUGACUUGUCAUGCCAUAAACUUACGAAAUGACAAGGGACAUUUUAUUAAUUUCAUAACAAUCCUCCAAAUAUAAAAAAAUAGAUGUGGUAUGAUUGCCAAUGAGACAACUCUUUAAAAGAGACCAAAUGACACAGAAAUUAACAACUGUAGGUCACUUUACGGGCACAUACUUACAGAAUGUGGCAAGGUUAAACAUGUUAGCAUGAUCUCAACCCUCCUCCUAACCUAGGACAGGGAUGUAACAGUACAAUAUAAAAAUAAACUAUAAAAAUGAGUUGCAAAAGACUAAACUCAUCAGAUGGUUACAAAUAGAAAUACAGAUAAAAAAAGAAUACCAUUUUGGAAAUUAUUGAAUUAACACAAUUUUCAUGCUAUUAUCAUACAGUAAACAUUAAGAGUUAUUUACCCUGACUAU
rnacentral:lncRNA from 1 species